CAGUCGCCGCGGUAAUACGAAGGGGGCUAGCGUUGUUCGGAAUCACUGGGCGUAAAGGGUGCGUAGGCGGGCAUUUAAGUCAGGGGUGAAAUCCCGAGGCUCAACCUCGGAACUGCCCUUGAUACUGGAUGUCUUGAGUCCGGAAGAGGUGAGUGGAACUGCGAGUGUUGAGGUGAAAUUCGUAGAUAUUCGCAAGAACACCGGUGGCGAAGGCGGCUCACUGGUCCGGAACUGACGCUGAGGCACGACAGCGUGGGGAGCAAACAGGAUUAGAGACCCCUGUAGUCCCUGUCUCUUAUAC
rnacentral:rRNA from 1 species